CAAGGACAGGUCAAGAUCUUCCUUACUUAACAAGGAAAGCUUUAUUGGCCCAGAGGCAGGAGCUCCACAGCUCCAGUAAGUAAUGGUCUGGUACCUGGAUAAAAGAAAGAAAAUGGCAGCGUACAAUAAUUCUUUCACUGAGACUUGAACUAGAAGACUCCAGGGGCUGCUUUGUGUGUUAAACAUCUAAUGACUACAUGACUCCCCAAAGAAUUUUAUCUGUUAAAUAUAUGAGAUUAACAAAAAGAUACAAAGUGCUUAAAAUAUUAAAUAUUUAGCAAUUAUGUGUAA